GGGGCUGACUUGGCUUCGACAGGAGUUAUGUCGCUUGGGCUGCAUGUCGGCUGUAUGCCGUAAAACUACAAAAAAUAAACGCAAAUAAUACAAAUUACGCUCCGGCUUACGCAAAAGUAGCGUGAGUUUAAUCUACUCUUAGGAGCUGGUCUUUUCAGAAAUGCUAGCUAUCUGAUUAGUCCAUCAUCACUGCUAGAUGCCCUUGGGUUUUGUCCGGACACAAGGAAAGAUUUUGACUGCUUAUUUUGCUUGUUUUAAAGAUUGAGCAACGAAAUAAAAAGAUUUUCAAUCUUUGUUUAAGCAUGUAGAGGCUCUUGUAGGGUAUGAUUUUUGGACUGGGGUUCGAUUCCCCACAGCUCCACCA
rnacentral:tmRNA from 1 species